UACGUAGGGUGCAAGCGUUGCCCGGAUUUAUUGGGCGUAAAGGGCGCGUAGGCGGCUCUGCACGUCCGUUGUGAAAUCGCCCGGCUCAACUGGGCGGGGUCAGCGGAUACGGCAGAGCUUGAGCAAGCUAGGGGGCAAUGGAAUUCCCGGUGUAGUGGUGGAAUGCGUAGAUAUCGGGAGGAACACCAGUGGCGAAGGCGGCCCACUGGGCCGGUACUGACGCUGAGGCACGAAGGCGUGGGGAGCGAACGGG
rnacentral:rRNA from 1 species